rnacentral:tRNA from 1 species
AAUUAUAUAGUCAAGUAUGAUACUGAAUUGCAAAUUCAGGGGUGAGCUGUUUCUAUAAUUU